AGUGAACGCUGGCGGUAGGCCUAACACAUGCAAGUCGAACGGCAGCACAGAACAAGUUUGUUCUUCCGGGUCGCGAGUCGCGGGGGGGAGAGGUAUAUAGCGGACUCUAUGUUUUAGUGGGGGAACACGUAGGGACAGUAACGAAUAUACCGCAUACGCGCUACGGGAGAAAGGAGGGGCUUUUGGGACCUUGCCCGCUUGUAUGCGCCGAUGUCGGAUUAGCUAGUUGGGGGGGUAAAGGCCCACCAAGGCGACGAUCUGUAGCUGGUCUGAGAGGAUGAUCAGCCACACUGGAACUGAGACACGGUCCAGACUCCUACGGGAGGCAGCAGUGGGGAAUAUUGGACAAUGGGCGCAAGCCUGAUCCAGCCAUGCCGCGUGUAUGAAGAAGGCCUUCGGGUUGUAAAGUCCUUUUGGUGGGGAGGAAGAGCAUCAGGUUAAUACCUCGCUUUACUGACGGUACCCAAAGAAGAAGCACCGGCUAACUUCGUG
rnacentral:rRNA from 1 species